UGGGGAAUUUUGGACAAUGGGGGAAACCCUGAUCCAGCCAUCCCGCGUGUGCGAUGAAGGCCUUCGGGUUGUAAAGCACUUUUGGCAGGAAAGAAACGUCAUGGGUUAAUACCCCGUGAAACUGACGGUACCUGCAGAAUAAGCACCGGCUAACUACGUGCCAGCAGCCGCGGUAAUACGUAGGGUGCAAGCGUUAAUCGGAAUUACUGGGCGUAAAGCGUGCGCAGGCGGUUCGGAAAGAAAGAUGUAAAAUCCCAGAGCUCAACUUUGGAACUGCAUUUUUAACUACCGGGCUAGAGUGUGUCAGAGGGAGGUGGAAUUCCGCGUGUAGCAGUGAAAUGCGUAGAUAUGCGGAGGAACAACGAUGGCGAAGGCAGCCUCCUGGGAUAACACUGACGCUCAUGCACGAAAGCGUGGGGAGCAAACAGG
rnacentral:rRNA from 1 species